UCAACUCCGAGGCUCCCGGGCUUCGCGAGGACGCAUUUGCAGCCCCCUCUGCCUCUCCUCUCGGGCGGCCGAGGCGAAGGAGCCGCCUUGCUGGGGCUUCGUGGUGGUGUAUUUCAUAUUGGGGCUCUUUUCGGGGUUUGUAAUUUGGCCGUGGGUAGGUAAUUGGCUGGAGCAGGGCGGCAGGGCGCGGCAGCCAAUCAGCGCGCGGCUUCUAUAGGGCUUGAGUUAUUAGACGCUGAUCUCAAAACAUCGUUCAUCAGACACCAAGGAGAGGCCAACAGCUGAGGGGAGCCAUUUUUCUGCAAUGGAAUUAAAUGGCCAAGUGGGUUUUUCCUUUGUUGCAAAUGGGGAAUGUUUUUCCUUUGACUCCACCAUCCAGUUCAGGACGCCUCAGUGUUGUGUUUAACAUUUGUCAACAGGCUAAAGGACUCACAAUUGGAAGAAUGAAGAAGACUUUUUAAAAAGAUCUGGAUUUUUCCUUAUGACUUGGAAUCCAUCUUUGUCUUGUAUAACUAGGUCAUAGCACACCAUUAAUGUCAGCAGUUAACAAUUUUGAAUUCCAAAAAACCUAAGUAAAUGACAUAUUUAAUUUUUUUUUCCUCUUUUUUUUUCUUGGGUGGGUGGGGGGAGCUUGGAGCUAUCUUAAUCUGUAUUCUCUUGACUGAACAAUAAAUUUUUAAAUAUAUAUAGUUUCCUCUAUUAAACACUUAAACCUGGCCAUCUUAUUAACUCCUUCUGCUCUUUUUUUUUUUUUAACAAGGUAAUGUUUUAAAUGUAUAGUUUUAGGACUAGCGAAAUGGCAGCAACAAAAAAUUGUAAGCAGUCGUUACUCUUUUAAGUUUUUAAAAACCUUUUACAUUGUAAGUACCCAAUCCAUUCUGUCCUUACGCAGUGCAGUUUCUAUGUUAAUGUUGCUGAGAUGUCCUUAAUUUUCUGAACCUUCAUCUGCAUGUAUGUCUUUGUCGCUCUUGUCUAAUAUAAGCCAGUUAAAAUGCUUUUAGACGAUUUUGCUUUUUAUAAAGCUAAGGUUUUAGCUUUAUGCUUUUGAAAAUGUUUACAGCCAUAAAUGCUAGCCAGCUUUCUUCCCAGUAACGUACACUUUCUUUGAAAAUCGAUCUAUUUGAAGAAAAACACUUCUGUUUUUCUCGUCUUGGUAGGGGAGUGGGUGAGGGAAAGGAAGACCUUCUCUUUGUGUACAGAGACUAAAGCCGUCACAGGAAACUAGAUUAAAACUGGAAAACAAGUCCUAGCUGGUUCGAGCCAAACACCAACGUUAACUCGCGGGUAUUUUCUAUGGUGGUUGGGAUGGCCGUGCGUCUUUUGCCUUUUGUUUGAUUUGACUGUAUUUUCGCCUUUUGUCUCUUAAUGACGAUCACACCAUUGCUAUAUCCAGAGCAGUAAACAGUCCUCAGCGAAGCCGCCUUUUGCCAACCCAACCCUGGAAAGUUUGCAGAAGUGGAAGGAGCAGAAAAUGCCAUGAGAGUGUAACUUACAAAAAGGCUCUUGGCUGGAGAAAGGGCAACCACCGGGUACCCCCAGAGUGAACCAUCCUCCUUUGGACAGCAGGAGCAGGCCUAAUUUCACUCUGAUAACAAGGUAGGUGUGAGUCCUUUGCCAGCCUGCGAGGGAGAUUUGGGGGGCUUGGGCCUGGAGCCCAGGGAGGGCGGGCACCCCAAACCCGCUAGGCUGGUUCUGCAGCCCCUCCCCCACACAGAUGUGUGGGACUGUGUGUGUGAAAUCGGCUCCCUGCUGGGCCUGCUCGGUCCAUCCAUCCCCGCCUGUCAGCUUCUGUUGUCAAGAGUUUGGGGCGUGCAAUUCUAUGCAGUGUUGAGCCGCAUAGAAGGCUGCACUUGCAAGUAUUUCCCAGUUGUGUGUUUUGUGGUGGGGAGGGGGGAGGGCCCUGGGUGCCUCUUCUGAAAGGUUCCAUCUGCUGCCAGGAAGCCGGGCCCUGCUCGGGCCCUCCCUUCCGGCCCUGAGUGGGGGCGUGUGGGGUGACUGUGAGCUGGCCUCUUCCCUCUGAUGUCUAGCUGCUAGGGAGGUGGAGAACACAAGUACCUGAGAGCUGGGCCAGCUUCCUCUGAGAAAGACGUUUCUUGACCCUUCUCCCCAUUCCUGGGAAUUCCACCAUUCUCUGCAAAGCCCCCCCCCCCCCAAUCCUGUUUCUAAAAUCAGACAAACUGGGAUUUGAAACCUGGCUAGCCAUUUACGUGCUGUGACUUUGACUUAGUCUCGGAGCCCGGUUCCCCCUGUGCACAAAUGGGCCUGGGUCAGUGAUCCCCUGUCCUGAGCAUGCUUUUUAGAACCGUUUCCAGGGCCCAGUUUUUGAUUCAGUAGGUGGGGACGGAGAACUUGGAGUUCUAACAAGUUCCCAGGUGAUGCUGAUGGCUGCAAUCCGAGGACACGUUUUGAGAACCUUUGGGCUGGGUAACACCUGGAGGUUUUGUGAGGGGGCAGGAGCGAGUGCACUUGAUACCCCAAGCUCAGCGCCUGAUAGAGGUGUUAGCUUCCGAGUAAUGGCAGCGCUCUCCUUACUCUGCUAACACAAGCUGACUGCUCAUAGUUUCCCACUGCCUGGCUCCAGGAGGCUCCACAGCUGGAGGUGGUGUGGCCCUUGAUCUCUGAUCCCUCCCCCAUGUGAUCUCUAGCUAGGGAUUACUUUGAUGAACCAUUUGGGUCCAGGUGCCACUGAUCCGCACCACUCCCCCAUUUGGACUGAGGUUUGGCUUCCUUGUGGGAUGAGCCCUGCUCACUUUUACCCCACCCCUCAGUGUGAGGGCUAAACUUAAGUUUGGGGGAGCCUGAAGGGCUUGACCUGGAGGUUUGGCUGAGAGCCAUCUUGACGCUUAAUCAAGGGAGGCUCUAAGUCUGGUGGCUGUGCUGGUGACCUUGGGUGAGUCUCCAGUGUGAAAUGAUAAUAAAGACGCAGGCUGGAAACGGGAGUGGGAGGAUUAAGUGUGAUUAAGGGGGCUUGGCCUCACGUUCAGGCUUCACACUAGUUGGCCUCCAUUCCCAUGUGGCUGCAGGGAGUGGGGGUUGGGCUGUCUGCGAGCUCCUCCCCCACCAACCCACCCCGGAGGCACGUGGCAAAGCUUCAGGGCAAAGGGGAAGACUGACUUUCCUUGGGCAGGGAGCCAGCCCCAAUUCUCCUGUGUGGUUUGAGUUGGAAUGGUGGCCUGCUCCCAGCUGUUCCAUGAUUGGGUCAUGAUUUGGGGUCCCAGAGAGUGGAAGUGACUCACCCAAGGUCACGAGGCCACCCCUGGCAGCCAGGAUGGGGUUCCAGGUGUCUUGAUUUGCAGCCCAUCGCCUGUGUCCAUGGCACCCCCCCACCCCAGCUGUCUGGGUUAUUUUGGGCUCCCUCCCAUGCCAGGCAUCACUGCCAGGAAGCUGGGAAAGCUGUCUGGUUGAAAGUAACCAGCGUGGUGCUCUUGGCUCCUUUUGGCCCCCUUCCCUUGGCCCCAUGAGGGUCUACAGUCCCAAUAAGCUGGGUUUGGUCCAUCUUGUCCUUUGCUGGUGGGGGAAGGAGGUUCAUUCUGCUGCACCUGGCACCAGACCCUCUUCCCCCAGGGAGGAGGGGGACGCUUUGUAAAAGUUGAUGAGGUUCACGUUCUUAAUACCCCGUGCGCCUCUUCCUUCCACUCUGGCCCAGAAUCAAGAUUUCAAAUUCGGUGCUGCUAUUGAAUUGCUCUUUCAGCCCCCUUGAUCCUCAGGUGACUGGCUUGCUGCCUGAGGGUGUCCGCCAUCCCUUUAGAUAGGGUCCUUAGGGCUCCCGGAGACAGGGUCUUUAUGUCCCAUGGGCAUCGGAUGGUUAAAUAAUUGAUUUAAACCCCCCCCCCUCCCAGCCACUGCCUGGAGGGCUAGAGCCAGGUCCUCCACUCCCGCCCUCGGAACAGUUAGGGAGCAAUUAGGUGCGAACCUGUGGUCUGGAUGUGAUUUUUGCGAGGGAGAGGUGGCCCGAUGACCUGUAAGGGUCAUACCCCCUCCCCACUUCCCUUUCUUCUUUACCUCUUUCACCUUUCUUUGUCCCCCCCCCCACCGCCCCCCGGGGGCAGGGAGGGGCGCAGCAGCCUGUCUGUCCUCCGGCUGUGGUUCCUCCUGGCUCGGAGGUUGGCCCCGCCCCCCGGUCGCCCCGCGAGCUCAGGGCGGGGCUGCCCCUGGCGCCAAUCCGGUGGGGCCAGCCUGGAGAGGGCCACGCCAGCGGAAGGGCGGCCCAAGGCUGGGAGGUGGCUGGACCUGCCUCGCUACUGGACACCAGGGUCCCGCCUCUUCCGGCUCAUCCACCGGGAGCCCCAGCCUGGAAUCCGACCUUUUGGACCCUCUGGGUGGAGACUGCCUCUGCCUGGACUGUGGCAAGAGGCACCCCGCCAUCUUGGAGGCCGCCUGGGUCCAGCGCCGUCACCAGCUGGCCAGUGACCUCAGCAAGUCCCCGCCCCUCUGGGAGCUGAGGUCUCCCCAUGUGAACCAGGAGGAGGAAGGUGGACGAUGGCCUUUUGAGCUGUCUCUGAGUCUGGCUUUGUGAGGGGAGCUUUUUGUGUUUCAGCAUGACCUCCCCACCAGCACCACCAGGUCCUGAGCCCUGGAGAGAGCCCUUGACUCCCCGCCCAACCCUGACCACCUCCCAUCUCUGGUACCUCAAAGAAUAGCUCAGUGUCUUCUGUCUCAUCGGGGUGGAUGACCCCUCAGGUGUGAGGUGACCUCUUAGGAUGUUCUCAGGGACCAGGGAAGUAGAAGCUGGAAGAAUUGUCGUUAACUGCCCCAUCCUUACCUAUGCUGGUCAGACUUCGCUCCGACAGGACAGAAGUGGAUCUGGCCCUGAGUUCUCUCCUGGGCUCGGUUGGCCUUACGAUCGCACUGGCCGAGUGAGUUCCCCCCACAAAUGCCACCUGGCCUGCUCCCCUAGGCUUCUGUGUCCAAAGCUCUGUGUUAAGAUCCAAUUUAAAGAAUCUUUCUUGCUUUCCUAAACCUCUCCAGGAAUUCCUGGUGAAUAGAAGGUGAAUGACUCGGGUCCUCAGAACAUCUGACAGGACUACGCCCCAUCUGUGUUCGAGAAAUACACGGCCAGCGUGACUGUGGGCAGCAAGGAGGUGACCCUGAACCUGUACGAUACCGCCGAGCUUCCCCCUAGCUGUGUGACCUUAAGGCGACUCGCUUCACCUUUCUGUGCAUCAGUUUCUGCAUCUGUAAAACGGGGAUGCCAAGAGCCCUGCCUUGUUAGCGUCGUAAUGAGGAAUGACGGGUUAGUGCAGGCAACCAGCUUCAAGUGAAGCCGUGGGUGAGCAUAAUGAGCCUUCAUGACGAGGGAGCCCAUUGCCGACAUGUGGUGUUGAUACUCACUCCUUUUAGUAUCGUUAUCAAGGCUCACCUGCUGCUCAUGUACCUGUUUCACAGGUGAGGAAACCAUUUGUAAGGCAACAAGGUCCAGAGGUUGAUUGCCAGUUGGGAAGUCCAGGGAAGGCUUCCUAAGAGAGUUUUUGGCAGUUUUAGAGUGGCGUGGCAGGCGCUGAACUUGCUGGCUGAGUUGGCGCUCCAGCUCACGGGGAACCUGUCUAUGACCGUGGAAAAGGCCCCUCUCGGACCCAUGGGCUCCUUACAGGAAGAACUUUCUCCACCUAGUGUACCUCCCAGGGUGGCUGCUUCAGUGAACACAGGUGACCGAAGUGAAAUGCCCUUGCUGAAAGCCAGAAAGGUUAUCAUUACCCUGUAUUCACACACUCAUGUGUUUGUGCGUUCAUUCACCCAACAGUUGCUGAGCUCACCUGUGUCCCAGGGGCUAUAACUGUCCUCAGGGGCUUCUCUGCUCGUGGGGCAGACAAAACCAAACCAAAACCCAGCAGCAGGGAGUGACAGUACUCAGAAGAAUAAUAGAGCCAUGGUCAGGUGUGGGGCAGUAGUCAGGGAAGCUCUCCCGGAGGAGGUGACGUUUCUGCAGAGACCUGAAGGAGAGGAGGGAGCAAGGCAUCCUUGGGCAAGAAGAACCUUUCGAAGAGGGAUGAGGGACGGGCAAGGGCAGAGGCCCCGGGCGGGGGAGGGGGGCUCAGUCUGACUUCCUCCUUCCAGCCGCAGUACUGAAAUCCUCCCCAGCCGGAGUUGCUAAACCCCCUGGCCCGGCGCAGCCCUGCUCUCUGCUGCAUCUGACAAGAGCAGAUAAGCAGCCAGGCCUGACUGGACGCCUGCCAGGCGCCAGGGAUGAUUUUUAAGGACAGGCCCAGGUUGUGGACACCCAGUGCAGGGGCAGAUGCUGCGUGGUGAGGGAAGGCCUCUAUGAGGAGCCCGCUGUUCAGGAUAAGGGAAGCCGACAGAGCACAGGAGGCCCAUUUUACAGCUACUUGUCCACUCCCGCUGGAUUUCUAACGGGGAAUAGACAUGCACUUUGUACCAGAAGUAGGAGCUUCACCGUUACAUCAUAGGGGCCCAGAACCCAUGUUGGCACAAUGCAAAGCGAAACAGAGCGUUGCUGGCUAUCAGCAGGAGUGCUCGACCAGGACCCGGCUGGACUGGGGUUGGGCCCCGGCUGGGUGACUGCUGCAGGGACCUCGGGCAGGUCACUUCUCUGAAGCUCAGUUUCUCAGAUAUUCUCGGAAUAUUUCCAUUCUUCACUUCCUGUCUAGCCCAUCAGGUGAUGGCUGUAAGGAUUUCUUAACGGUUCAUAGGCAGAAGCACUCUAAAAAGUGUAUAAAGCAUAAAGUGGUGUUAUUGCGAAGGAGUAGAGAGAAGACAAUUAUCCUGAAAAAGGAAAUAAUGACAUUCAGUUUGAAAGUUUUAAAGUAAAAUGCUAAGAAAAAAUGGGGGGGUGAGUAGGGAAAGCAUUCCAGGUUGGGGGUGGACAGCA